rnacentral:lncRNA from 13 species
GGGGAGGGGCGGGGAUGAUGCUCCCGGGAGCAUCGCGGGGGGGGGAGGAAGCAGCGCGGCUUCCUCGAGGGGGGCUCCCCAGUUUGGGGGAUAGAGGAGGAGGAUGAGGAGGGGGUCGAUGCUGUUACGGCGCUGCUGGAGCCCCUCACGGUGCCGCAGGUGAGGAAGAUGCUGCUCCGAGCCCCGGCCAGGCGCUCUCCUAUCAGCGUCUCCCGGAGCCCUCCCGGCACCGCUCCCAGCCGGACGCCCCGGGGGCAUCCUCAGAGCUGCAGCCUCCUGCAUCCCACCGCUCCUUCCCGGGAAACGUGAGUGCUCAUCCCCGCGCUGUCCAUCCUCAUGACAGGGGCUGGAUUCGGUGCUGGGGGGCAGGGGGUCCCUGGCAGUGCCCCCCGGCUGGGUCGCAGCCUGAUCAGGGGGUGCUGAAGGGUUUUUGGAGCACACCUGGAGGGGAGGGGUUUUAUCCUUGCCCCCUCCUUUCCAGCAUCAAACCUCUUCCCAUCGCCCCCCCCUUCUGCUCUCCUGAGCCCCCCGGGGUGGGGACCAACGGGGAGGGACUCGGGGAGGUGGGGUCAGGACGGGGCUGGGUGUUCCCAGUGCAGGGUGGGACUCUGGGCACCCCCUCCCCUGCUGCCCCUCUGCCACCUCCACCUGGACCCCUUCCCCUCACCUGGCGGAGCCCGGCUGAAUCCCUCUGGCUGAUCCCAAAGGGGACACUGGGGCCGGUCCCAGGGGAUGCUGAUUCUCCUUUCAGAGCCCAGGUGAGGAGGAGGAGGGAGGUCUGAGCCUCUCUUUCCCACCCGGGUACCCCCGGAUCACCUGGAGCAAGGGAAAGCUCCCGAGCACCUGACAAGGAAAACCAAGGUGUGGACCCAGAUGCGUGCUGGUGUUGGCUGGCCUGGACAGGGUUAAUUCAUCCAAUUGGUGAGGAAACCCCUUGGGAUUGGUGGUGCUGGACUGGUGGUGGGCUGGCAUCUGCUACACCCGUCCCUGUCCCCGAGGGGGUCGGGGGCUUUGGGGGAGGAAGGGGGACAGUCGGGAUUGCUGCAACACCUCUGGGCUAACCCGGAAUUCCUGACGGGGAGGAAAGAGGAGGAAGAUUUGCUCAUCAGCAGGGAAUGGUCCCCAUCCCGGGAUGGCCACACUGCUGCUCACGUGGAUCCUCUUGGAGUGCUGCUUCCCUUCCGUCUGCUCCCGGAGGUGCGAGUGCUGAUGAACCUCACCCAGGGGUGCCUCAGACUCCGGGGCUGAGCACGUUCCACAUCGUAGAGUUAAAUUUUCCCUUCCUGCCAGCUCUCCCUAUUAACGCUGGGAUCUUGUGGGUGGUGCAAAACCCGGUAAUUAUCCACUUUUUACUAUAAAAGAUGGAAUUCUCCUCCCCAGCCAGUGCGGAGAGUACGCAGAGUGAAUCACUGGGAAUGCCUGGGUUAAGUUUCCAGGGGUGAAAUCCCUCUCUUGAGUGCUGGGGGGAGGGCAGGAGGAGCCGAGGGCAUGGACCAGGAGCUGGGAUUUGUGGAUACUCCGGAUGCAGGAGAGGUGGGAUGCUGGGGGUGAGGCGGCCGGGGAGGUCUGGCUGUGGCACGCAGGGUGGCAGGGAUGCAGACAAAGCCACCAGGUUGGGUUCAGGUGAGCCCAGGUGGGAUUGAAUCCGGGCAGGAAUCAACACCUCCAGGCCAUGGAGGGGUUGCCAUGGAUCUCUGCCCACUCGGGAUCCAUCCCGAGGUCUGCAGGGCUCAGAUCCCGUGGGAGAGCGUGUCCCUUGCUCGGGCGCACGGGCUGCGUGCGUGGCAGUUAAAUAUAUAUAUAAAUAUCUAUAUUCUGUAUAUUUAGCAACCCUGCUCUGGGUAACCGUGGCAACUGGGUUUAUUUUGCUUAAACCUGGCCUGGCAUGUGAUGUGGUUGGGAAGGAACAGCCGAGGGGAGAGGGAGGGAUGAAGUUCUCCGUGCUGGGAGCUGGGGAGGAGCCGUGGCACGGGAUGCUCUCAGGAGGACCUUGCCGUGUCCCUGCAAACGCCUCACUGGGGACGGCCCCCAGCAUUCCUGCGGCUCUGUCCCAUCCCCUCUGCUCCACCUGGGAAGGGAAGGUUUGGUUUUGGGGUUUCCAUCUCCCUGUUUUCUGCUGGGCUUCCCAGGACACCCCUGACCGCUGUUCCCUGUCUCUUGCAGGGUCCUGUUUGCCACAUCCGGGUCCUGGUGGGAAGAGCUGGUGAUGGUU